UCCCCAGCCCCUAAGCUUGUUUUCAUAGUUCUGCUUGUCAGUGUCUGGGUAAGUCCUUACACUGGUCAGCUUUUCUGUUGCUGGGACACAAUACCCAACACUUAAAGAAGGAGAGGUUUGUUUGGCUUCCAAGGUUUCAGUCCAUGGCUGGCUGAAUCCAAGGCAUAGACAUCAUGGCGGAAGGACGCAACAGAAGGAAAGCUGCUCAAUUCAUGGUGCCCAGGAAGCGGAGCAGGGGAAGUGCCGGAGAGGAAGAAGCCAGGGACUAGGUAUAGACCCACGGCCACACCUCCGUGAUGUGUUAUACUAAGCCUGAGGUCGCUCCCAAGCCGACCAAAUUGACAAUUAAGCUUAUCCACCGCAGCCCUUCUGUCGUGAAGGUCCCAAUCUGUCUCCAGAGUCCCCGCCUUGUAAAGGUCCUGCGGAGUCUCGGAUGUGGAGCCUCUAGAACUCAAGCUGUGGGCUCAAACUGAAAAGAAGAAGCAGGAUUUGAAAAGAGAAAGCCAUUUCCCCAACUUCCUCCUCCCUACAGCUGUUGUUCUUUGUUCUAAUACAGAUAAAAGCGGCAACUUUUGUCCCUAUUACGAAAGAGCUCAUAAUUUGAUGGCAUUAUUGGGAGAUGAUGGAAAUAGGACCCGAGACCUAGCUGAAGAGAGCGCAUCACAGAAGUGUGGACCUGGGGACCGUGCUGGUCCCUGGCCCCUUAUUCCCUGGCUCUUCCUGUCUCUGCCCCUGGCUGUCAGGAAGACCUGGUUGCCGUGCGAUGUCCUUCCGCCGUGAUGUUUCUGCCCUGCCACUCGCCUAAAAGCAAUGGAGCUGGCCGCUCAUGGACUGAAAGCUCUGCAAAUGUGAACCAGGAUAAACUUUUCCGCUUUUAUUUUUUAUUUAUUUAUUUUUAAAAACGUUUCCACUUUUACAUUAGUCGCAGAGGGAAUCGAACUCAUGACCUCGAGCUUGCCAGGCAGGCGCUGUGCCGCUGUGCUAAGUCCCUAGUCCCAAGCUUUAUCCAUUUGAAGAGUAUGUCAGAAGUUCCUUCCUUCUUAAGGCCGAAUAAUAAUCCACUGCAUGGGAGAAAACUAAGAUGUCAGAGGUAAAUCAUUUGCUCACUGUUACCCAGUCAACGCUGGCAAGUCUGAUCUCCAAGCCCACUAUUUUUAUCACUAAAUCCAAACGGACAACACUAUGCAGAUCCCGACCUUAUCCCCGCCUCUAAUAACCAAAGCCGCUUCAGUGCAUGCUCAUGGAACCUGCUUCCCUCUGCUUACUUUUCCUGUAGGUGGAUCUUCAGCCGUCUAGCAAGUAAAGUUUGUGUGUUUCUUCCACAAAUUCAUCAGAAACACACAAAUUUAUGUGAAGUUAACAAUUAAACACAGUACAUUUUUUCCUCUAGAGGCAAUUUAGUCUUUUAUGCAAAUUGAC